rnacentral:rRNA from 1 species
GAUGAACGCUGGCGGCGUGCCUAAUACAUGCAAGUCGAGCGAACAGAUGAGGAGCUUGCUCCUCUGACGUUAGCGGCGGACGGGUGAGUAACACGUGGAUAACCUACCUAUAAGACUGGGAUAACUUCGGGAAACCGGAGCUAAUACCGGAUAAUAUAUUGAACCGCAUGGUUCAAUAGUGAAAGACGGUUUUGCUGUCACUUAUAGAUGGGUCCGCGCCGCAUUAGCUAGUUGGUAAGGUAACGGCUUACCAAGGCAACGAUGCGUAGCCGACCUGAGAGGGUGAUCGGCCACACUGGAACUGAGACACGGUCCAGACUCCUACGGGAGGCAGCAGUAGGGAAUCUUCCGCAAUGGGCGAAAGCCUGACGGAGCAACGCCGCGUGAGUGAUGAAGGUCUUCGGAUCGUAAAACUCUGUUAUUAGGGAAGAACAAAUGUGUAAGUAACUAUGCACGUCUUGACGGUACCUAAUCAGAAAGCCACGGCUAACUACGUG